GACAGAGGUCCCAAGCGUUAGGCGGAAUCACUGGGCUUAAAGCGUGUGUAGGCGGAUUUGUAAGUACCUUGUGAAAUCCCACGGCUUAACCGUGGAACUGCUUGGUAUACUGCUUAUCUUGGGCCAUCUAGGGGCUAGCGGAACAAACGGUGGAGCGGUGAAAUGCGUAGAUAUCGUUUGGAACGCCAAUGGUGAAAACAGCUAGCUGGGGAUGUGCCGACGCUGAGACACGAAAGCCAGGGGAGCGAACGGG
rnacentral:rRNA from 1 species